ANAAUUUGGAUUAAUGCCCCCUAGUGUUAUAGAAUCGCAUGGUUUUAUAACUAAAGUUCCAACGGUAUAAGAUGAGCAUGCGUCCCAUUAGUUAGUUGGUAAGGUAACGGCUUACCAAGACAAUGAUGGGUAGGGGUCCUGAGAGGGAGAUCCCCCACACUGGUACUGAGACACGGACCAGACUCCUACGGGAGGCAGCAGUGAGGAAUAUUGGUCAAUGGGCGCAAGCCUGAACCAGCCAUGCCGCGUGCAGGAAGACGGUCCUAUGGAUUGUAAACUGCUUUUAUACAGGAAGAAACCUCCCUACGUGUAGGGACUUGACGGUACUGUAGGAAUAAGGAUCGGCUAACUCCGUGCCAGCAGCCGCGGUAAUACGGAGGAUCCAAGCGUUAUCCGGAAUCAUUGGGUUUAAAGGGUCCGUAGGCGGUCUUAUAAGUCAGUGGUGAAAGCCCAUCGCUCAACGAUGGAACUGCCAUUGAUACUGUAAGACUUGAAUUUU
rnacentral:rRNA from 1 species